AUAUAUAUAAAAUGCAUGUUUUAGUAUCAUUAGAAAAAUAGUUAAUUUUUCUUUCAAUAGAUAGAUAAAUAUGAUACUGUGUACAGAUAGAUACAAUGAUGACUAAAGUUUAACACAUAAUAUUGUAUAGAACCAAGUAUUGUGGUCAUGGAUGUAUUGUCAGAAAGUUGAAGAAAAUUGCUUCUACAGGUGAAACUGAUGAGAAACGAUAUUCAGACAAAUAUAACCCUAAUACUGAAAAAGCAUAAAUAUUAUAUGGUGAUAUAGUGGAAAGCAAUUAAAAGAUGAUAUGAAUGAUCCUAAUCAGCCGUUUCUUUCAUAUGAAUUGAGAAAAUAUAUACUUUGCAUUACGCGAGUAUAUCAUGAACGAAGAAGUGACCAAGAUAUGUUAAAGCAUCGAAAGAAACAACUAGAAAAAGAGGGAAAUGGCUGACCAUGGAUGAAAUGAUACAAUGAUAGAAUUCCAAUGAGUUGAAUGUACAAGAUGAUAAAAAUUAGUAUAUUUUUGAACAAGGUCGAUAUGAAUAAUGAAGUUUGCAUGCAAUGAUAAUAAAUUGUUAUGUCGUUUAUCAUACUAAAUAUACAAACGAAGUAUGUGACACAUAGCGAAAAAACUCACUUUUUCUUGAGAGUGAAGAAACUGCGCCGCUUAGUCUCGGCUUGCGUUGGAGCAGGCAAAGUAUGUGCUCUAGAUGUACCCGCACCUGAUGUACCUUGUGCCGCCUGAUUUAAUGCCGAUAUCCAUUCAUUUACUUCUGCAUCAUCUUUGGCCUGGAACAAGAAGUCGGACCCGGUUUGCGACCUACAAUGCGAACAAAUAUAAUUAAUUAUAAUAAUUUCUUUUAAUAAGAAAAACUCUUGUUAUUAAAGAUAUUGAACCUACUUUACUCGGAAGACAUGUUUCUUCUUAGUGUAAUCAAUGGCUACAGUAAUGUUCGCGCCUCGUAAGUCAAGGGGUGCUUCUCCUUUGUACCGUUGAUCAGGUGAAGCCUUAUAUGUCUUUUGAUCUUUAUAUACAAACAAGUUUUGUCCACGUAUAACUAUGUAUACUUUCUCCCAAGAACGAUUAGUUGCCUUCUUUGUUGUACUUUCCCACUCGUGUUUUCUUUGUAAUGUUCCUUCGAAUUCGUCAUCGCUGGGACUACGUUGUUCUGAAAGAAAGUAGUGUUAUGUUAAUUUGUGAUAAAGGAUAAAGUAACAAUAGCCUAUUAAUAUAAUAUAAUGUAAUAUAAUUGAAUAAAAUAAUUGUGCUGUGUUCAAA